rnacentral:rRNA from 1 species
GAGUUUGAUCGUGGCUCAGAACUAACGCUGGCGGCGUGCCUAACACAUGCAAGUCGAACGAGAAGCCCGCAAGGGUUGUAAAGUGGCGGACGGGUGCGUAACACGUGGGUAAUCUACCCUAUGGCCUGGGAUAACCUGCCGAAAGGCGGGCUAAUACCGGAUAAGACCACGGCUCUGCGGAGCUGUGGGAAAAGACCCGCAAGGGUCACCGUUUGAUGAGCCCGCGGCCUAUCACGGUAGUUGGUGAGGUAAUGGCUCACCAAGCCUACGACGGGUAGCUGGUCUGAGAGGACGACCAGUCACACUGGAACUGAGACACGGUCCAGACUCCUACGGGAGGCAGCAGUGGGGAAUAUUGCGCAAUGGGCGAAAGCCUGACGCAGCAACGCCGCGUGGGUGAUGAAGGUCUUCGGAUUGUAAAGCACUUUCGACCGGGACGAAAACCCGCUGGCCAAUAUCCAGCGGCUUGACGGUACCGGGAGAAGAAGCACCGGCUAACUCUGUGCCAGCAGCCGCCGCUGUAAG